GGGCGAGUAGCUCAGUACGGAUAGAGCAUCAGCCUUCUAAGCUGAGGGUCAAGGGUUCAAAUCCCUUCCCGCCCGCCA
rnacentral:tRNA from 1 species